UAACAUUUUCCCUUUCCUUUGAUUUCUGGCCUAUCUGAGUCGCGAUUCGUGAAACCACCACCACCAAUCAAUUCCUCUCCGCAUCCACAACAAAACCCCUAAACAUUUAUCACUGUCGCCGCACCGGAGAGUUCCAGUCAUCAUGCUCCACUGCAACAGCGAUGAUUUCCAUCCACCGUGCUCCAUCACGUCAAUGAUUUUCAACCUCUAUUUUACGUCUGCAAAUGAAGUUCAGGUGUCUAUGUUCCGAAUGCAGCCAGAGUCGUUACCAUUUUGCUUCUCUUUUGAAUUUGAAGGCCUAAAUUGCACACACACACAAUAAUAUUCAACAUGAUGUUUCACCGCAGACAGUAAUCCGCUUACUGAAAGAACUUGCUCACAACAAAAUGAAGUUUGCGUAAGAUUCUCUCCAUGUCUAGCACUGCCCAGUUUUUGCCUACAAGGUGUUUGAUUAAAUGUUUUUGAAGAUUUUGAAGGUAUUGACUAUUGUUUGAAGUUUUAUACUAUUUCAGGAAGGUGCAC
rnacentral:lncRNA from 1 species